rnacentral:rRNA from 1 species
ACGGGAGGCAGCAGUAGGGAAUUUUCGGCAAUGGGGGAAACCUUGACCGAGCAAUGCCGCGUGAACGAUGAAGGUCUUCGGAUUGUAAAGUUCUGUUGUAGUGGACGAAUGUCAUCUAUAGGAAAUGAUAGGUGAUUGACGGUACUCUACUAGAAAGCCCCGGCUAACUAUGUGCCAGCAGCCGCGGUAAUACAUAGGGGGCAAGCGUUAUCCGGAAUUAUUGGGCGUAAAGCGUGCGUAGGCGGUUUAUUAAGUCUGAUGUGAAAUCCCAUGGCUUAACCAUGGCUGGUCAUUGGAAACUGGUAGACUUGAGUACAGUAGGGGCAAGUGGAAUUCCAAGUGGAGCGGUGGAAUGCGUAGAUAUUUGGAGGAACACCAGUAGCGAAGGCGGCUUGCUGGGCUGGAACUGACGCUGAGGCACGAAAGCGUAGGGAGCAAACAGGAUUAGAUACCCUGGUA